rnacentral:lncRNA from 1 species
UAUCUGAAUGGAAUCAUGAGGUCAUCUUUCAUCUGGAUAUCAUCAUACUCUAGGAGCCAUUUAGUUUCUCCCUAUCACUAUGAUUAUAUUGGCCAAGCUAUACAGAUAUAGACAUAGUGAAGCUGUUAAGCCCUCCUGCCAUGUUCAAGGAGGGCUCCUCUUGGGAGGGCCUAUAUCUGUAAUGAGAUAUUUAUUUCCUUCUUGUUUAGUGCUUCUUUCUUUACAGAGAUUAUUAAACAGCAAUGCUAUUUCAGCAUUAUUAAGGGCUAAAUAUAUCUGCACUGUGAUUUACUAUGAAGUGAAAAAUAGGUUUCAAC